UACGGGGGGGGGCAAGCGUUGUUCGGAAUUACUGGGCGUAAAGGGCUCGUAGGCGGUUUGUCGCGUCGGGAGUGAAAACACCGGGCUUAACUCGGUGCUUGCUUUCGAUACGGGCAGACUGGAGGUAUGCAGGGGAGAACGGAAUUCCUGGUGUAGCGGUGAAAUGCGCAGAUAUCAGGAGGAACACCGGUGGCGAAGGCGGUUCUCUGGGCAUUACCUGACGCUGAGGAGCGAAAGUGUGGGGGAGCGAACAGG
rnacentral:rRNA from 1 species